rnacentral:rRNA from 1 species
UACGUAGGGGGCAAGCGUUAUCCGGAUUUACUGGGUGUAAAGGGAGCGCAGACGGCUUAGCAAGUCUGAAGUGAAACCCCACGGCUCAACCGUGGGCUUGCUUUGGAAACUGUUAAGCUAGAGUACUGGAGAGGUAAGCGGAAUCCCUAGUGUAGCGGUGAAAUGCGUAGAUGCUAGGAGGAACAUCGGUGGCGAAGGCGGCUUACUGGACAGCAACUGACGUUGAGGCUCGAAGGCGUGGGGAGCAAAU